rnacentral:rRNA from 1 species
GACGUAGGGGGCGAGCGUUAUCCGGAUUCACUGGGCGUAAAGGGCGCGUAGGCGGUCGUGACAAGUCACUUGUGAAAUCUCCGGGCUUAACUCGGAACGGUCAAGUGAUACUGUCGGACUAGAGUACAGAAGGGGCAACUGGAAUUCUCGGUGUAGCGGUGAAAUGCGUAGAUAUCGAGAGGAACACCUGCGGCGAAGGCGGGUUGCUGGGCUGAUACUGACGCUGAGGCGCGAAAGCCAGGGGAGCGAACGGG